AAUAACCUGAAAUGUACGAUAAAGCUUGUUAGUUUUGAACCUACAUUUACUUUCAUGGGAUUCUUAUAUUGCCAAGUGGCUGUCAAGCCCUCACUCCCAGGCAUGCCUGGAUCAGAGGAUUGGAAGGGAAGGCAAAAGCUUUGGUUGCGGUUACCCACCUAGCUUCGCUAGGAGUCAAAAAACAAGACGCGGCAUUUCGGGUAUUAA
rnacentral:other from 1 species